AGUGAACGCUGGCGGCAGGCCUAACACAUGCAAGUCGAACGGCAGCACAGUAAGUGCUUGCUCUUACGGGUGGCGAGUGGCGGACGGGGGAGGAAUACAUCGGAAUCUACUUUUUCGUGUGGGCUAACGUAGGGAAACUUACGCUAAUACCGGAUACGACCUACGGGUGAAAGCAGGCGAUCUUCGGACCUUGCGCGAGUGAAUGAGCCGCUUUCGGAUUAGCUAGUUGGCGGGGUAAAGGACGACCAAGGCGGAGAUCCGUAGCGGGUCUGAGUGGAUGGUUCGCCACCCUGGAACUGAGACACGGUCCCGACAUCGACGGGAGGACGCAGUCGGGAAUAUUAGGCGAUGGGGGAAAGCCUGAUCCAGCCAUACCGCGUGAGUGCAGAAGGACUUCGGGUGGUAAAGCCAUUUUGUUGGGAGAGAAAAGCAGUAGUUUAAUCCGCCGCUGUUAUGACGGUACCCAAAGAAUAAGCACCGGCUAACUUCGUG
rnacentral:rRNA from 1 species